AAUGGGCGAAAGCCUGACGCAGCGACGCCGCGUGGGGGAUGAAGGUCUUCGGAUUGUAAACCCCUUUCGGGAGGGAAGAUGGAGCGAGCAAUCGUUCGGACGGUACCUCCAGAAGCAGCCACGGCCAACUUCGUGCCAGCAGCCGCGGUAAUACGAAGGAGGCAAGCGUUGUUCGGAUUCACUGGGCGUACAGGGUGUGUAGGCGGUUUGGUAAGCCUUCUGUUAAAGCUUCGGGCCCAACCCGGAAAGCGCAGAGGGUACUGCCAGGCUAGAGGGUGGGAGAGGAGCGCGGAAUUCCCGGUGUAGCGGUGAAAUGCGUAGAGAUCGGGAGGAAGGCCGCUGGCGAAGGCGGCGCUCUGGACAGGCACUGACACUCAAGUACGAAAGCGUGGGGAGCAAA
rnacentral:rRNA from 1 species